CACAUGCAAGUCGAACGGUAGCAGGAGAAAGCUUGCUUUCUUGCUGACGAGUGGCGGACGGGUGAGUAAUGCUUGGGAAUCUGGCUUAUGGAGGGGGAUAACGACGGGAAACUGUCGCUAAUACCGCGUAUUAUCGGAAGAUGAAAGUGCGGGACUGAGAGGCCGCAUGCCAUAGGAUGAGCCCAAGUGGGAUUAGGUAGUUGGUGGGGUAAAGGCCUACCAAGCCUGCGAUCUCUAGCUGGUCUGAGAGGAUGACCAGCCACACUGGAACUGAGACACGGUCCAGACUCCUACGGGAGGCAGCAGUGGGGAAUAUUGCGCAAUGGGGGGAACCCUGACGCAGCCAUGCCGCGUGAAUGAAGAAGGCCUUAGGGUUGUAAAGUUCUUUCGGUAUUGAGGAAGGUUGAUGUGUUAAUAGCACAUCAAAUUGACGUUAAAUACAGAAGAAGCACCGGCUAACUCCGUGCCAGCAGCCGCGGUAAUACGGAGGGUGCGAGCGUUAAUCGGAAUAACUGGGCGUAAAGGGCACGCAGGCGGUUAUUUAAGUGAGGUGUGAAAGCCCCGGGCUUAACCUGGGAAUUGCAUUUCAGACUGGGUAACUAGAGUACUUUAGGGAGGGGUAGAAUUCCACGUGUAGCGGUGAAAUGCGUAGAGAUGUGGAGGAAUACCGAAGGCGAAGGCAGCCCCUUGGGAAUGUACUGACGCUCAUGUGCGAAAGCGUGGGGAGCAAACAGGAUUAGAUACCCU
rnacentral:rRNA from 1 species